GACGAACGCUGGCGGCGUGCCUAAUACAUGCAAGUCGAACGCAGUGGGGACGGGUGAGGAACACGUGGGUGACCUCCCAUCAGAGGGGAUAACCCUUGGAAACAGGUGCUAACCCGAACCGGAAGUAUGGACCCGCGGGGCAUUAGCUAGUUGGUGAGGUAACGGCUCACCAAGGCCACGAUGCAUAGCCGACCUGAGAGGGUGAUCGGCCACACUGGGACUGAGACACGGCCCAGACUCCUACGGGAGGCAGCAGUAGGGAAUCUUCGGCAAUGGACGAAAGUCUGACCGAGCAACGCCGCGUGAGUGAAGAAGGUUUUCGGAUCGUAAAGCUCUGUUGUUAGAGAAGCGGUAUCUAACCAGAAAGCCACGGCUAACUACGUGCCAGCAGCCGCGGUAAUUC
rnacentral:rRNA from 1 species